GACGUAGGGGGCCAGCGUUGUUCGGAAUUACUGGGUGUAAAGGGUUCGUAGGCGGUGCGGCAAGUCGGGAGUGAAAUCUCUGGGCUCAACCCAGAGGCUGCUUCCGAAACUGCUGUGCUUGAGUGUGGGAGAGGCGCGUGGAAUUGCAGGUGUAGCGGUGAAAUGCGUAGAUAUCGUAAGGAAGACCAGUGGCGAAGGCGGGUCUCUGGACAGUUCCUGACGCUGAGACGCGAAAGCGUGGGGAGCGAACAGG
rnacentral:rRNA from 1 species